AUUUGAUGGGAUGGUUAAGAGAUUAUCUAUGGUUAAACUCUUCACAACUUAUCAAUGGAUAUAAUCCUUUUGGUAUGAAUAGUUUAUCGGUCUGGGCGUGGAUGUUCUUAUUUGGACAUCUUGUUUGGGCUACUGGAUUUAUGUUUUUGAUUUCCUGGCGUGGGUAUUGGCAGGAAUUAAUUGAAACUUUAGCAUGGGCUCAUGAGCGCACACCUUUAGCAAAUUUGAUUCGAUGGAGAGAUAAGCCAGUGGCCCUUUCCAUUGUGCAAGCAAGAUUGGUUGGAUUGGCCCAUUUUUCUGUAGGUUAUAUAUUCACUUAUGCCGCUUUCUUGAUUGCCUCUACAUCAGCAAAAUUUGGUUAAUUUAGUUAUUUAUUUUAUUUAUGUGCUGUAUCGGCAAGAAUUUCAUUCCUUUUCUUUCGAUGGAUAAGGGGAUCCCCCUUCUUAUAUUUCUACAUCUAGGAUCCGAACUAUAUUAUUGAUAAUAAAAUAAUAGGAACUGAACAUUAUGGCAAGAAAAAGUUUGAUUCAGAGGGAGAGGAAGAGACAGAAAUUGGAGCAGAAAUAUCAUUUGAUUCGUCGAUCCUUAAAAAAAGAAAUAAGCAAAAUUCCGUCGUUGAGUGAAAAAUGGGAAAUUCAUGGAAAAUUGCAAUCCCUACCGCGUAAUAGUGCACCCACACGUCUCCAUCGACGUUGUUUUUUGACCGGAAGACCUAGAGGUAACUAUCGAGACUUUGGACUAUCCGGACACAUACUUCGAGAGAUGGUUAAUACAUGUUUGUUACCGGGCGCUACAAGGUCCAGUUGGUAAGGAUAAAAAUACCGUUUACUAUGUUUUGUAUGGAUCUCUAUGAUCUAUGAUCAUGGAGGGGCCCCUCUUUACCAUUCUGUAUAAAUGGACUAUUCUAAUUAUAUAGAUAUGGUAGAGGGGCAUAUCUCAUUUUUGUCCAAUAGUUCUUAGUUCUUCAGCGCGGAGUAGAGCAGUUUGGUAGCUCGCAAGGCUCAUAACCUUGAGGUCACGGGUUCAAAUCCUGUCUCCGCAACGCAACAUAUAUAUAUAUUUUUUCAAAUCAAAAUAUAUACAAAAUAUAUAUAUCUAUUUUUUUUUUUUUAUUUUAGGUGUGAUUCCAUUAUCUAGUCAUUAAUAAC
rnacentral:lncRNA from 1 species